AGGAUUUGGUUCAAUUGGAAGAAACAUUUUGUUGUUUUGGAUUUUGAAGCUUUGUGAUGUUUUUAUGCUUUACUAAGAGGAGGGAAAGUCUGCUUGAGACGUAAAUGUUACAAUUAUCUUGAAAAUAAUCAAACAUUUUGGUUAAUAAUGUGGAAAGUCAACAGGUAUCUCUUCCUUUUUUUGCUAAUGGCACAGUCAGGUUUGGAGUCUU
rnacentral:misc_RNA from 1 species